rnacentral:rRNA from 1 species
GAUGAACGCUGGCGGCGUGCCUAAUACAUGCAAGUCGAGCGAACGGAUUAAGAGCUUGCUCUUAUGAAGUUAGCGGCGGACGGGUGAGUAACACGUGGGUAACCUGCCCAUAAGACUGGGAUAACUCCGGGAAACCGGGGCUAAUACCGGAUAAUAUUUUGAACUGCAUGGUUCAAAAUUGAAAGGCGGCUUCGGCUGUCACUUAUGGAUGGACCCGCGUCGCAUUAGCUAGUUGGUGAGGUAACGGCUCACCAAGGCAACGAUGCGUAGCCGGCCUGAGAGGGUGAUCGGCCACGCUGGGACUGAGACACGGCCCAGACUCCUACGGGAGGCAGCAGUAGGGAAUCUUCCGCAAUGGACGAAAGUCUGACGGAGCAACGCGGCGUGAGUGAUGAAGGCUUUCGGGUCGUAAAACUCUGUUGUUAGGGAAGAACAAGUGCUAGUUGAAUAAGCUGGCACCUUGACGGUACCUAACCAGAAAGCCACGGCUAACUACGUGCCAGCCGCCGCAGUAA